rnacentral:lncRNA from 1 species
GCCGGAUAUAAAGAAAAUGAAUUUAUUUUAAUUCCAACAAACGAUUUGCAAAAUCCUCUUUGUAAAUGUUAGUCAUUUAAAUUCUUAUGCAUUUCAUAUUUAUUUAAAUUGAAUAUUAAGCAUUUAACAUUUACACGAGCUAUUUAUUUAAGCAAACACUGAACGAUUAUUACAGUUUUCAUAAUACAACCCGGAAGACCUUAUUUUAUAUUACUCUCCCACCUACUUCCUUCCACCUACUCCCUCUCACACCCACCUACUCCCUUCUUUUUGCAAACUUAAUAUAGCUGGUUGAUCCGAGCUUCCAUUUUCUAUCCUCCACAAUCAUCCCACACAUUUCAUCUCCCUCAUCAAUUUUCAGCACAUCAGCUACUGAACAAAUUCAGAAGAUUUGCAGAAUGAUAACCCAACAGAUUUCUUUUGAAGGUUAAACCUCUAACUCUCUUACUCGAGCACUUCUUUUGAAACAGAAACUCAAGUUAGAACCCAUACAUAACACGUACACUGAUUCCAUCAUAUAUAAAUUUGCAUAUGACAACAAGACCCAAACUCAAUGAUGUUUAUUUAUCGUCUGUGCAUAUACAUACAUACAUGAAGCAUGUUUUUUUUUAAAAAAGAAAAGAAGUAGAUAUUGAAGCUCUGUUUUUUUUUUUUUAUCCUUGUUUUCGAACUGCUGUGUCGAGUCGGGUAGACGAGUGUGGUGGCUGUGUGAAUUGAGUCGGGAGGUGGACGGAGGCACGGCACGGCAGCGGCGCUGCUGUCGCCCGGCCACGGUGAGAGAGAGGGAGCUAGGGCUCGGGCGCCGCUCUUCGCGGUGGGAUGUCGGGCCUGUUUCAGCCGAGAGAAGGGAGAACCGAGGGGUAGUGGUUGUCGCCGUUGCUCCGGCGAGCUCCAGCGGCCGUGAGAGCAGUCGAGAGGGAGACGAGCAGCGAGGAGGGAGAGGAGAGUCGGAGUCGGCGGACGGCGGUGGUGGC